rnacentral:rRNA from 1 species
AAAUUGAAGAGUUUGAUCAUGGCUCAGAUUGAACGCUGGCGGCAGGCCUAACACAUGCAAGUCGAGCGGAAACGAGUUAUCUGAACCUUCGGGGAACGAUAACGGCGUCGAGCGGCGGACGGGUGAGUAAUGCCUAGGAAAUUGCCCUGAUGUGGGGGAUAACCAUUGGAAACGAUGGCUAAUACCGCAUAAUGCCUACGGGCCAAAGAGGGGGACCUUCGGGCCUCUCGCGUCAGGAUAUGCCUAGGUGGGAUUAGCUAGUUGGUGAGGUAAUGGCUCACCAAGGCGACGAUCCCUAGCUGGUCUGAGAGGAUGAUCAGCCACACUGGAACUGAGACACGGUCCAGACUCCUACGGGAGGCAGCAGUGGGGAAUAUUGCACAAUGGGCGCAAGCCUGAUGCAGCCAUGCCGCGUGUG